GGACAAGGCAGGGCAGGGCAGCGGGCGGAUGGGCAUCCUUUCGGAAAAAACUCAUAGAGCGCAGAGGGCCUUGGCUGUGGUGUUUGGCACUAACCAGCUUCCCUCUCUCCUAGAUGGCAGACUGUGGCGGCCUCCCGCAGAUCUCCCAGCCGGCCAAGCUCGCUGAGGCCUUCAAGUACUUCGUGCAGGGCAUGGGAUACAUGCCCUCGGCUAGCAUGACCCGCCUGAUGCGGUCCCGCACAGCCUCUGGUUCCAGUGUCACUUCUCUGGAUGGCACCCGCAGCCGCUCCCACACCAGCGAGGGCACCCGAAGCCGCUCCCACACCAGCGAGGGCACCCGCAGCCGCUCCCACACCAGCGAGGGGGCCCACCUGGACAUCACCCCCAACUCGGGUGCUGCUGGGAACAACACCGGGCCCAAGUCCAUGGAGGUCUCCUGCUAGGCGCCUGCCCAGCUGCCGCCCCCGGACUCUGAUCUCUGUAGUGGCCCCCUCCUCCCCAGCCCCUUUUCGCCCCCUGCCUGCCACGCUGCGCCUAACUCGGUAUUAAUCCAAAGCUUAUUUUGUAAGAGUGAGCUCUGGUGGAGACAAAUGGGGUCUAUUACGUGGGUGCCCUCUCCAAAGGCGGGGUGGCGGUGGACCAAAGGAAGGAAGCAAGCAUCUCCGCAUCGCAUCCUCUUCCAUUAACCAGUGGCCGGUUGCCACUCUCCUCCCCUCCCUCAGAGACGCCAAACUGCCAAAAACAAGACACGUAGCAGCACACACUUCACAAAGCCAAGCCUAGGCUGCCCUGAGCAUCCUGGUUCAAACGGGUGCCUGGUCAGAAGGCCAGCCGCCCACUUCCCGUUUCCUCUUUAACUGAGGAGAAGCUGAUCCAGUUUCCGGAAACAAAAUCCUUUUCUCAUUUGGGGAGGGGGGUAAUAGUGACAUGCAGGCACCUCUUUUAAACAGGCAAAACAGGAAGGGGGAAAAGGUGGGAUUUAUGUCGAGGCUAGAGGCAUUUGGAACAACAAAUCUAUGUAGUUAACUUGAAGAAACCGAUUUUUAAAGUUGGUGCAUCUAGAAAGCUUUGAAUGCAGAAGCAAACAAGCUUGGUUUUUCUAGCAUCCUCUUAAUGUGCAGCAAAAGCAGGCAACAAAAUCUCCUGGCUUUACAGACAAAAAUAUUUCAGCAAACGUUGGGCAUCGUGGUUUUUGAAGGCUUUAGUUCUGCUUUCUGCCUCUCCUCCACAGCCCCAACCUCCCAACCCUGAUACAUGAGCCGGUGAUUAUUCUUGUUCAGGGAGAAGAUCAUUUAGGUUUGUUUUGCAUUCCUUGGAAUGGAGGGCAACAUUCCACAGCUGCCCUGGCUGUGAUGAGUGUCCUUGCAGGGGCUGGGGUAGGAACAUUGGGGUGGGGGCGGAAUUGGGGUUACUCGAUGUAAGGGAUUCCUUGUGGUUGUGUUGAGAUCCAGUGCAGUUGUGCUUUCUGUGGAUCCCAGCUUGGUUCCAGGAAUUUUGUGUGAUUGGGUUAAAUCCAGUUUUCAAUCUUCGACAGCUGGGCUAGAAAGUGAACUCAGUAGCUGAACCUGUCUGACCUGGUCACGUUCUUGGAUCCUCAGAACUCUUUGCUCUUGUGGGGGUGGGGGUGGGAACUCAUGUGGGGAGCGGUGGCUGAGAAAAUGUAAGGAUUCUGGAAUACGUAUUCCAUGGGACUUUCCUUCCCUCUCCUGCUUCCUCUUUUCCUGCUCCCUAACCUUUUGCCGAAUGGGGCAGCACCACUGACAUUUCUGGGUGGCCAGUGCGGCUGCCAGGCUCCUGUACUACUGCCUUGUACUUUUCAUUUUGGCUUACCGUGGAUUUUCUCAUAGGAAGUUUGGUCAGAGUGAAUUGAACAUUGUAAGUCAGCCACUGGGACCCGAGGAUUUCUGGGACCCCGCAGUUGGGAGGAGGAAGUAGUCCAGCCUUCCAGGUGGCGUGAGAGGCAAUGACUCGUUACCUGCCGCCCGUCACCUUGGAGGCCUUCCCUGGCCUUGAGUAGAAAAGUCGGGGAUCGGGGCAAGAGAGGCUGAGUACGGAUGGGAAACUAUUGUGCACAAGUCUUUCCAGAGGAGUUUCUUAAUGAGAUAUUUGUAUUUAUUUCCAGACCAAUAAAUUUGUAACUUUGC
rnacentral:sRNA from 1 species